rnacentral:lncRNA from 1 species
CUUUAGAUAGAAUUUGUAUUGCCAUAAGACUGUAGCCUUUGAUGUGUUAUUUCUACUUUACCAAAUGACUUGGUACUGCUGCUCAGUUUAUUUAAUGCCUAGUUUGCCAGCACUUGCUUAUGUAGUCAAUAAAUAGGUGGUAAAAUUAAGUUUAGAGCUGAGAAAAUGUCUGACAAGGAGAUGAGAUAUAAGUAACAGGGCUCGGUAAAAUUCUUUUUGGUUUCUCCCUGCUCAGCUGACUAUUUUGGGCAUUUCAUGCCAAAUUUGAAUCCUCGAACACUUGAUGUCUGACUGGAUGUACUGGGAUCGGGAUCAUCUAAGGCAACCAUCCCCUCCUCUAUUUCGCAUUGGAUGGAACAACUGAAUGUGCCUGAGUCAAAAUGCCUACCCACAUCAAUCUGCUGCUGUGGUUUUGAGGAUUUCUGACAUCUGCCAGUCCUGGGAAAGCUGAUGUUAGCCUUGCUUGUGGUACACUGCCAGCUGUGAUUCUAGAAGCUAAUAAAUAAUGCUUUAAAAUGGAUCCUGGAUACUAC